rnacentral:rRNA from 1 species
CCUACGGGAGGCAGCAGUCGAGAAUUAUUCACAAUGGGGGAAACCCUGAUGGUGCGACGCCGCGUGGGGGAAUGAAGGUCUUCGGAUUGUAAACCCCUGUCAUGUGGGAGCAAAUUAAAAAGAUAGUACCCCAAGAGGAAGAGACGGUUAACUCUGUGCCAGCAGCCGCGGUAAUACAGAGGUCUCAAGCGUUGUUCGGAAUCACGGGGCGUAAAGCGUGCGUAGGCUGUUUCGUAGGUCGUGUGUGAAAGGCGCGGGCUCAACCCGCGGACGGCACAUGAUACUGCGAGACUAGAGUAAUGGAGGGGGAACCGGAAUUCUCGGUGUAGCAGUGAAAUGCGUAGAUAUCGAGAGGAACACUCGUGGCGAAGGCGGGUUCCUGGACAUUAACUGACGCUGAGGCACGAAGGCCAGGGGAGCGAAAGGGAUUAGAUACCCGUGUAGUC